CGCCGGUAUCAAGUCUAGGGAGAAGAUGCUGAAGGGGGGGACUUUGGAUGUGAGAUUGCUCCUUAUUGUAGAGACGAAGGGGAGAUGCCACUGCAGGCUCUGCUGUUCUUAACAUCUUUGAGUUUUUGUGGAAACUCUUUGCUAUGAUUAGAGUUGGUUCUCAAAUUACUCAUGGGGGAAUAGAGCAUUCACCGGAAGUGGAAGGAACUUGGUAUUGACACGAAGUACUUAUCCCCACACAUGCAAUCUUCUCAUUUCUGAGCAUACUGUGAUGCACAUCAAUAUCUAUGGGGGAAACAGAUUUAUUGUGCCUCAACCCUUCCAUUCCAGCAUUUUACUCACCAUCCAGGAUUAAGGAAUGGUUUAGUCUGUUUGAGUACAGACACAAAUGAAGGCGUUUCGCGUCCCAGAUAGCACUUGAUGAAAUCUUUUCCCAUUGUUCAUUUUGAUUACUAUUCAAGUUCUGCUUCGUGGAAUCAAAGAUGCGUAGACCUGAAGUGGCUGGUUGGCAAAGUUUAAAGGGCCAAAGUAUCUGCUGUAAUUCAUGACUCUCAUUAAAAGUGGCCCGCUGCUAUGUUUGAAGAGUUGGUUUCUGUCCAAGGUGCCGUUUGUGGUGUGAAUUUCCCUAAUUCCUCAGCUGCAGAUGAAGUUGUAUGCAAAGCUGCUACAAACGGUUGCUUUAA